GCGGAGAUGGCGAAAUUGGUAGACGCACUACUUUGAGGUGGUAGCGCCUUUUACCGGGCGUGGCAGUUCGAAUCUGCUUCUCCGCACAA
rnacentral:tRNA from 1 species